GGUAUUGGAGAUGAGGGUGCAAGGGUUAUUGCAGAUAUGCUGAAAGAAAAUCAAACUUUACGUGUACUGGAACUUAACAAUAAUAUGAUUGAAUAUUCUGGUUUUGCAAGUCUUGCUGGAGCACUAGUUGAGAAUAAGG